GCGGAUGUUGCAUAGUGGUAGUGCCCCUGCCUUCCAAGCAGGAGGUAAGGGUUCGAUUCCCUUUAUCCGCU
rnacentral:tRNA from 1 species